AUUGCGGGGCCCCGCCAUCCCGCCGCCCGGGCACCUGAGUAAACCAUGCGCGACGGGUGGUAGCCCGGCAUAACGCUGGGUGAUAUGCAGCGUCCUGGGCCCGGGUCCCAGAGCUGCCCCGCGCCCUGCAUAGCGCAGCGUCCCGCCGUCGCGGCUGCUCAUUGCUUGGAGAGCCAUGCAGGCGCGGGGCACCUCGCGAGCGAGCCCCAGAACCUGGUUGACGCAUAAUCCGGCCGCCGGCAGCCCGCAUAACCGCGAGAGCUAUACCGAGCGGGAGCGGGAGCCGCCGGCGCCCGGGACCGCGCAUACGGGCCGCGACCGCCCCGCCAACCCCCCCCAAGGUGCGGGGCCGCGGCGAGGCGGGAGCGCGGGCCGGGGCCGCCUGACAGGCCCCUCCGGGAUCCCCAGGGCCCAUGCGGAGCUUGGGGCCUGCCCGGGAGCUGCUCUCGAGCAGGUGAUGCCGCCCAGGGAGCGUGGAAGAGCAUUCCCGAGCUUCGCUAGUCCAGCUUAACCCUUCAGCUGCAUGGAGUGGGGUGCACGGGGCCCGCCGCCCCGCGCCAGGAGCAGCGGUGCAGGUAGGAACGGGGCAGGGCGCCGGCGCGCACCAACCUGCAAAUCAAACCCACGCUUUAAAUCCCGCACGUGAGCUCUCUACCCGUCCAUUAUUAAAGAAGAUGUGCUGCACGCCCCCACCCGGGGGCCCGGCCAGUUCCCCUCAGAGGUGUUGAUCUGCUGGGCGAUGGGCUGGUGAACAGGAGCAAAGAGGUCCCGGGAGGGGCAGCUUUUGGGGCUGCUGCUCACCCUUGCCAGCACACACACCUGCUGCUUCGCUGGGGCAUCGGGCUUUGGGGCUGGAUAGAUUUACCUGUGCCCUUGGUGAGAAAGCGUCACCUCCUCUGAGGUCAAAAAGAGGGAACACUGACCAGGAACCAUCCUCUAAGGCAAUAAAAAGAGUUAAGUCCUACCCCAACAAAGCUGCUGGCUUCAGAGAACUCCUACAGAUAUUUCCUGAGAACCUGCUGAGGGGAGGCAGCGCACCAGGUUUUUGUACACAUCUCCACAAAAGCUGGUUGAUAAUGAGCAAGCCUGUGGAUUUCGGGACCGCUGACACCCGUGGCCAGCAGCGGUGACACAAACAGCAAAGCUCUGCUCAUCCUCACAGCCGAGUCGCACCCCAAACCAGCAGCACACGUGGAAUAUACACCCCACAAUGUACACCACGGCACGUGCCUUUGCAUACUUUAAAUAAAGCACUGGCCUUUCCUUCUGGAUCCUGCUGGCUGAUGUGAAAUGCAUUCAGAAACAAGGAAUACUUGCGCGCUGGGGCUGGAGCUGGGGCUGUCACGCCUCCCCCAGCGCUGCGGCUGAGGCACCACAGCUGCCCCAGAGCGCAGGCGCGCUAACGAGCAGUGGCGGUAACGAGCCGCAGCGUCACCGAGCUGUGGGGCUGCCCGGGGGACCCCGGCAGCUGUCCCCACUCCGAGGCCGGGCCAAACAACCACGACAGGUUGACAUGGGUUCCCGUCUUUAUUGUCACAGACCCUGCCACAGACGCGGGACUGCAGCACCGCAGAUGGUGCCGCCAAGGACGCGUCUUCAGACGUUGUAGCCGAUCAGGCCGCGCUUGCCGAUGAUCUCCCCGAUGUAAAACCACAUCAGCACCUCUGUGGCCACCAGCCCGUUCUGCAGCGCCUCCUGGAAGGGAGAAAGGCACCCGUGAGAUCGCUGGCCCUGCAGCGGCUUCCCGCAGCCCAGCCCCACGCGUGAGCAGCCACGCGCUCAACCCGAUCACGCGGCAACAGCUUCAGCAAAACAGCCAACGCGCUCGGGAGCGUUGAUGACGUUUGGCAGAGCACACCGCUGCGGUGGCUCAAACGCUCAGUACAGCAUCACUGGUCGUUCCUGCUCCUUACUGCCCUUCCCGAAGAUCGUUUCUCCCGCAGAUGCGGGGAGCACGGCAACCGCGAGGCUGCGGCAGCGGCGGGGCUGGAUCUGCCGCCCUGGUCCCUCCUCCCUGGGACACGGACACAGCCCGGCCAGGGCAGGAAGAGCAGCAAAGCACCGCAGCUCUUGGCCCCGGGUUCCCCCGAGGUCCCCGAGCGCUGCCGCUCCGCUGUUCUCCGCGGCAACGCGAACCGGCCCCAGGGCGGCUCCCCCCACCGCAGCACCGCCCCCGCCGUUACCUUCACCGUGAGCUGCCGCAGGCGGCCGCUCUGGAAGGCGCGCACCAGCCCCUUCAUGCUGUCGAUGGCCCGCGGGAUCUCCGCGGGGGUCGGCGGGGCCAGCUCCACCUUGGCGUAGAACCAGAACGUGGCCAGGCGCGGCCUGGAGUACGCGACGGCGGCUGCGGGCGGCAACGGGACAACGGCGUGUGAACACCGGCGGGGCCUCGCGAGCCCGGCCCUCAGCCCCGCGCCCCCCGCUCCCGCCCGGCACGGCACGGCCCCGCUCCCCGCGCCCCCCGCUCCCGCCCGGCACGGCCCCGCUCCCCGCGCCCCCCGCUCCCGCCCGGCACGGCCCCGCUCCCCGCGCUCACCGCUGAGCAGCUGCGGCCCGCGGACCGCCACCCGCUGCACCAGCUUCUGCGCCGCCUGCGCCAUGCCGCCCUGAAUGUCACCCCGCCGCCGAGGACCCCGCCGCCGCGCCUGCCCGCGCAGCGCCUGCCGCCCGCUCGCCCGGCAGGCGUCCGCCGCGGGCAGCCCGUGGCGAGGACCCCGCGGGGCGGGGCGCGCCGCGCCGCCCGUGAAUCGCGGUUCGAGCCCCGGGCGCUGCCGCUCCCACCCGCGGUCCCCGCUCCGACAGCUGCCAGACUUCCACCACCGGCUCCAAGAUCAGAUCUAGAUUUAAUUCCAACGCCCCUCCGUUCCCAGCGCCAAGUACAAGUUGGCAGAACCGUCCCCCUCCAGCCUGCACUGGCAUCCAGCCCUCAGAGCUGCUGUGGCCGCGGAGGCAUCGCGUUCACAUUGAACUGUUACAGAGUUUAAACGGAACAGAACAGAGGGAAGGAACAUGGCCCACGCAAAGAACAAGCGACGGGGGGGUGCCAGGCCGCAGAAGGGACCGUGGUCUUCCCCUGAGGCAGAGGCUCAAAGCUGUAGUGCAGCAGAAAGUCUCAACAGUAAAGAGAAAGUCUUGAAAGGAAAAGACAGAACGAGGGGUGGGAGGAAGGUCCCAGGAGAGACCCCGGAGCUCCAGCCGCUACCCCUGCAAAGUUUAUCUGGCCCGUGACUGCAGGUCUGGGGACGAGAUCCUGGUUCUCAGUUCAGCGAUUCCUCCAGCUCCUCCUUCUG